GCCUAGUUAGCUUAGUUGGUAGUGCGUCUGCCUUGUAAGCGCUAGGCCGCGGGUUCGAUCCCGCCCGGGGCG
rnacentral:tRNA from 1 species